rnacentral:tRNA from 4 species
GCCGACGUAGCACAGUGGUAGUGCAAUCGAUUCGUAAUCGAUAGGUCACGAGUUCGAAUCUCGUCGUCGGCUCCA